rnacentral:lncRNA from 1 species
AAAAUCGUAAAAUACAACGCGCGUUACCCUUAACUGCCGAUUUAAAAUAGAAAGAAUCUUUGUUUUGACAUAGAAGGCUCUAAGAGUUACGAUUCAAACGGUUGUAAAAUACAGAAAAGUAAUCAAAUGGAUAAAAAGGGAUUAUUUUUCGUCGCAUUAAUGUGUGUUUGCUCUCGUAGAAGCUGGGCAUCUUCUGAAAGAUUUUACAUGGAAGAUGAAUGCGGUGGGCUGAUAGAUAUGGAUGCACGAGAUCUCGAAAGUAUCAGGGUGGAAAUGACCAAAUACCAGCUUUACCAUAACGCACAGGAGUGUGUACUUCGAGUGAAAGCCCCUAAAAACAAACGAUUCGAAGUGAAGAUAUUAAAGAACAACAUAGAACGAAGUGAGAAUUGCACUAAAGACUUUCUGCAGAUAUAUGAUGGACCGGAACUCAUUAAUGACGUCUUACCAGGCCUAGAUAGACAGUGUGUGCUCUUCCUCUUCCUUACGCCACAGUUACGCUUCAGUCGGCGACUAUAUUACAAUCAGGUUCAAAAGUAACCCGACAGAAGCGUUGGAUGGAUUUCGGCUUCUUAUUACAGCUUUCAGAACAGACCCAGGCGAUGAAUGUUACAGUAACGAGUUUCAGUGCAAAUCCACCAGGCGUUGCAUUUCCGAUGCUCUCGUCUGCGACCGGUUCGAUGAUUGUUCCGACUCCAGUGACGAAUGUGAUCUGCCUACCCCAGCCAUUAUUGGAAUAGCAGUGGGUGCGGUUGUGGCCUUUCUUAUCAUCGUUGGAAUCCUACUCUGUAUCUGCUGUCUAAGAAAGAAGCGCGUCAGAACCGGAAGUACCAAGCAUUUGAACCGACAUGACUCAUCGGAUGGUGCGGCAACCCCUUCUGAAGAACCAGAGAUUACCGACAGCCACUAUUACAGGCCAAAGUCUUACCACCAACCAGUGCACACUAUUCCAUCCAGUCAGCCGGCGUUCACAGUGAAUGGACCAUACUACACAUACAACAAACCGGAAGUUGUCGGUAACACACGCCAUGUUUGGAUCACAGCACCACCGGAUGUGACGUAUCUUUCCACAUACAAUUGAAUUAGCUUUCUUAUCGACAGGAAUUUGAUUCUGUCUCUAACAAACUGACUUACGGCUGGGAUUUAAAAAUAUGAUAUUUUUGUCGAUGUCAGCCGGAAUGAUAAGAAACGUAAAACAACCUGCAAGGGAAAUCCUUUAGUCAGUGUGAUAUGUUCAUGACUUUUUAUGUUUAUCUACAUUCCAAAAGACAGAAACUUAUGGAAAGGUAUUUUGAGUGUUUUAAAGAAUUUACAGAAACAACUCCAGAAAAUUGCCGAUUCCAGAGAGUUGAAAUGACAAUAAAAUCGAUAACAUUAUUUCCUGGCGAAAACUUCCCCUUUUUGUAAUUUAGGCUGAGACAUUUUAUUGUUUACUUUAAAUGAUGUAGCAGAUCUACUGGUCCUUGAAAAUUUGAAUAUUUUUUUUACUUUUUUAUUUUUAUUUUUUUUUUAUUUUUUUUUUUUCAUUCUGCGGCGAGUGCAGGUGAAAAGGGAUAGCUAGCAGAGAAUAGGGCAAGGUUGAAAAAUGGUUGGCAAUAUAUUUUUACUUAUAUGUAUUGAUCUAUUUACGUAACAGAAAAUAGACAUCCAAAUACGCUACUAUAGUUUGACAAUACUUCAAAGCGAAGAGUAAUUAUUACAUAUGUAAUAUUUUGUGUCUCCAUGUUGUAUUGUGGCAUUGCCUGUUGAAUAUGAUAGGCCACACGAAAGUGACAGGAAGAUUUAUGUGUAGUUUGCAUUAUGCAUAUAUUAAGUCCGACAAAAUGCUUUUCUUAUGACUGAUGUUCUUAAAUUUAAAAGUUCACAAGUUUGAAAGUAAAACGGAAGUGCGUUUUAAGGUUUAAAUAAUAAUUUAUUCAUUCACUUCUGAUAUGUGUGCAUAUAUAUGUAUAUACAUUAUUUAUUUUCACUAUAAUAGCUUUCAGUUUUCCAAAGUUAAUGACAGUGGAGCUCAUUUAUAUGAUUAUAAAGUAUGUAUUUGUAAAUUUAAUAAAUUAAAAAAGCGCAUUCUAUUGUUUGGCCGUACUUGGCGAACCGUUCAAAUUAAUUAUAUUAAGCCAUAAAAUGAAUUAUUCAUAUGCAAGUCAUUUGUUACCUUCAGACAUCGUAAUUAAACUUGUUUAUCAUCUAUUUUUGUUUUACAUGUUUGAAAAUAUUUUUGACUCCAUGUUAAAUGUUGAAAAAAGAAUAAAGUGGUUUCUGUUUACGAUGAAAAUUCCAACAAAUGAAUAGCAUGAUAUAUCAUUGUUUUCAUAGAAUAUUUAGUUAUAUAAAAUUUUUGUGAUGGCUUAUCGUGCUUCGAAAUAUAGAAAUGUAGAAGUUUUAUUUUUUGUGGCAGUAUUUCAAACUGGCAAAAAUAUCAUAAGUAUAAACUAGUCAAAACAUGAAAUAAAAAGAAUUUUUUUCGUUUUACAUGUAUGAUAAAAAAUAUCUUUUACCCAUGAACACCAUAUUUUACCUUUUCACUCUUGAAAAUUUUGCAUUGGAUGUUCACCAGUGAAAGAUAUUUUAAUCUUCUACUCGAAAACAAACAAAUAUCCUCUAUCUUUUGUUUGUUGGCUACAACAGCGAUUUGAUGUUUCAGAUCUUGAACGUCUAUCACAAACAUACUUGCAUACCAUCUAGAAUUUCAGUUACAAUCAAUUCUGAUACAUUUUAUAUAAAAAAGUUAUUCCUUUUUUUUCGGGUCAGCUAUCUUACUUAUUUAGUCCUACAUUAUGGCACGCCAAACACGACAUUGAUGGAUUAAAUUCGUUCUGAUGUCAUCAGAUGACAUGAUAUGGUUAUUUUUCAUUCUGAUGUUGUUACUUUUACAUUAUCUGGUAGUACAUUUUCAUUCUAGUGUUGCCGUUACUUUAAAUACUGAUUGGGUCACUUUUUGUUGUCCAUUCUAUCGUGGUUUCUUUUUACUUUGUCAUUCGGCAGUGGUACCAUGUCAUUCGACAGUGAUAGCUUGCCAAUUUGACAUUCGGCAGUGAUACCUUGUCAUUCGGCUGUGAUACCUUAGCAUUCGGUAGGGGUAGCUUGUCAUUGGGCAAUGGUUACUUAGCAUUCGGCAGUGUUUGCUUGAUACCGCCGCCGAAUGACAAGUAACACUAUCAUAAACGUAAAGUGACCACGUCAGAAUGGAAUAGAGUCACAUUAUAAUGUUACAUAACCCCAUUAUCAUCAUCAUCAUCAUCAUCGUCACAAUACUAAUAAUAUUUUCUAUUUAAAUAUGAUAACGCAUUAAGAAAUUUAUGGAAUACGUCAGAAUUAAAAGUAACCUUGACAGCAACAGAAUGAAAAUAAACCACCAAAGUCGUGCUUGUAUUUUCAUAUCAUGUACUUAUAAGGCAGGGGCCUCACUUGCACCUCACUGAUGUAUGUUCGAGCCUCACCUGGGGCGUUGAAUUCUUCAUGUAAGGAAUACAUCCAGCUGGCUUACGGAAGGUCGGUUGUUCUACCCAGGAGCCCGCUCAAGAUGAAAUAAUGCACGGAGGGACAGCUGGGGUCUUCCUCCACCAUCAAAGCUGGAAAGUAUGUGGCCUAUAAUUGUGUUGAUGCGACAACCAAAACAAAACCUUACACGGCAUAUUUUCAAACCGGUGAUUAUAAUUAAUUUUGAUACUCGUUAUGUAUAUAUAUAUGUUAAAGGACUGUAGUUUAAGCUGAGAUAUAUGUAAAGUGUUAUUGCAAGGUGUUCUCCAGCCAACAUGUAUAUGUAGCUAUAUGUCUUUUUUGUGUGUACACCACAACUAUUAUGUCAAACAUGCAAAAAUGAUUUUCUGAAUUUGAAACUUCAAGAAAAAACAAUUGUUUAAACGCGGAUGCAUUCAAGAAAAAAAGCUUGUUUAUGUAAAUGAUAUAAAAAAGUCGUAUCAUUACCAAUGUCCACGUGUUCUUAUAUUAGCUAUCGGAAAGGGUAGAAAAUUUGAAUUAAGUUGAAACAGAAUAUGGGGAAAGCAAUAUAUUCCUGUUUUCGGCCUUGUAUCAAUUAUGAAGUCAACUUUAAAUAAUGAAAAUUGUUAAUUCAGCAAUGUGUAUGUGUUUGAUGACUAGACUUAGUAGUACUAGUUUGUCUUAUUUGCUUACCUAACUAUUAUGUGUACACAUAAAUAGUUCAUUGUGAAUAUCAUAUAUCUUACUAUUCUGCAUUUUCACUAUUGUACAUAGAUGUAAGAACUACGACAAAGUAAACAGCCAAUGAAUAUGUAUAUAUUUUCCAAUAAAUUAUGUGAUGUCAGUA